GUCAGGAUGGCCGGGCGGUCCAAGGCGUGCGUUAAGGUCGCCAGUCUCCACUGGAGGCGUGGGUUCAAAUCCCACUUCUGACA